rnacentral:rRNA from 1 species
UACGGAGGGUGCAAGCGUUAUCCGGAAUCAUUGGGUUUAAAGGGUCCGCAGGCGGAUUUAUAAGUCAGUGGUGAAAGCCCGUUGCUCAACAACGGAACUGCCUUGAUACUGUAAGUCUUGAAUUCGGUCGAAGUGGGCGGAAUAUGACAUGUAGCGGUGAAAUGCUUAGAUAUGUCAUAGAACACCGAUAGCGAAGGCAGCUCACUAGGCCUGGGAUUGACGCUCAGGGACGAAAGCGUGGGGAGCAAACAGGG